rnacentral:lncRNA from 1 species
GAUUGAAACCAAAGAAGCUGUGGUACUUGGAGAUCUCUGUUGCUCUCUCUUAGAGAAGUGCUGGGCUGUCAGGAGACCACUUCAUGCUUCUCCUGUAACAGCACCUUUUGCAGCUGCUGGAAGUCACCAUCUCUUGGGCAGGGGGAUUUUCUGCUCUGCGCAGUUUCUCUGGUUUGGAAGUGAAGCAGUUUAACAAUGUGUCCUGAAGGAAACAGUCAGGAGGAAACAUGUAUAAAAGGUGUGGAAAAUGGGCAACAACUUGAGAAUUUGAAACAAAAGCAGUCCAUCAUUUCUACAGCUAAGCAGCAUAUAUGGCUCUGUGAAGGCAUCACAAGGUAACACCAAGCUGGGCUUGCCUGGGACCAAACAUCAGGCCAGUACUUGCACACCUCCAUGAUCUUGUGCAACCCCAACACCAGCUGAGAGCCUUGGAGCUGUCUGAUGUCCAUGCCUGCACAUGGAUAGCCAAAAGCAUGAAAAGGCUGGUGCUUGGGCUAGCAGUUAUCAUCCAGUGAUGCUACAGCACUGAGCACAUUUCUAUGGACCUUCGGUGAGCUUUCACCACAAGCAGUCACUG